GACGAACGCUGGCGGCGUGCUUAACACAUGCAAGUCGAGCGGUAAGGCCCUUUCGGGGGUACACGAGCGGCGAACGGGUGAGUAACACGUGGGUGACCUGCCCUUAGCUCUGGGAUAAGCCUGGGAAACUGGGUCUAAUACCGGAUAUGACCUCAUGACUCAUGUUGUGGGGUGGAAAGCCUUGUGCGGCUAGGGGAUGGGCCCGCGAUCUAUCAGCUUGUUGGUGGGGUAAUUGCCACCAAGGCGACGACGGGUAGCCGGCCUGAGAGGGCGACCGGCCACACUGGGGACUGAGACACGGCCCAGACUCCUACGGGAGGCAGCAGUGGGGAAUCUUGCGCAAUGGGCGAAAGCCUGACGCAGCGACGCCGCGUGAGGGAUGACGGCCUGGUGU
rnacentral:rRNA from 1 species